CACUCCAUCAGUGUCACAAACAUUUUCUCUCUAACACACAUUCAUAAAUAUAUUGCAUGGCCAGCUUAGUUCAUAAACUUUGUGUAUCCUCCUCCAUUGUUGUGAUGAUGGUCAUAUUAAUGGCUGCAACUGCAACCUCUUCAUCAAGAAUAUUAAUGCCAAUUAUGGAAACAACAACAAGAAGUGCAAGAAGUGGGAGCAGCAUGAGUAAUAGUAAUUAUCGUCAUCUUCUGGUCAAACGCAGAAUACCACCCUCUGGUCCAAGCAGAAGAGGUCACCACAAAGUAUUUCUCAUUUCAUGAUUAACAUAUUUGUAACAUUUUAUGAUGAUGAAGAAGCUUGAAACAGAGGAUUUGCAUAUUGGUUUUGAUACACUAAGAUUUCAGAUAUCAAGGAUAAGAAGACGCCAGCGCAAUGGAUACUGAAUCCGAAAUGCUACAUUUAUUCAGAUGAAUGAGCAAUGAGAAGUGGGUUAUUCCAUUGUUUUA